UGAAGGCUGAUUCUAGUCCUUGAAAGAGGAUUACCCGCAAGGGGUCUAGUACAGGUGCUGCAUGGCUGUCGUCAGCUCGUGCCGUGAGGUGUUAGGUUAAGUCCUGCAACGAGCGCAACCCCUACACUUAGUUGCCAUCAGGUAAUGCUGGGCACUCUAAGUGGACUGCCUACGCAAGUAGCGAGGAAGGUGGGGAUGACGUCAAGUCCUCAUGGCCCUUACGCCCAGGGCCACACACGUGCUACAAUGCCCACUACAAAGGGUUGCCAAACCGUAAGGUGGAGCCAAUCCCAAAAAAGUGGUCUCAGUUCAGAUUGUGGGCUGCAACUCGCCCACAUGAAGCUGGAAUUGCUAGUAAUCGCAGAUCAGCACGCUGCGGUGAAUACGUUCCCGGGCCUUGUACACACCGCCCGUCAAGCCAUGGAAGCUGAGGGUACCCGAAGCCGCUGUGCUAACCGCAAGGAGGCAGGCGUCUAAGGUAAAAUCAGUGACUGGGCUAAGUCGUAACAAGGUAGCCGUAUCGGAAGGUGCGGCUGGAUCACCUCCUUU
rnacentral:rRNA from 1 species